rnacentral:rRNA from 1 species
CAGGACGAACGCUGGCGGCGCGCCUAACACAUGCAAGUCGAACGGACGAGGAUCCUUCGGGAUCCGAGUUAGUGGCGAACGGGUGAGUAACACGUGAGGAACCACCUUUCAGAGGGGGAUAACACUUAGAAAUAGGUGCUAAUACCGCAUAAGACCACGACCGGGCAUCCGGAUGAGGUCAAAGGAGCAAUCCGCUGAGAGACGGCCUCGCGUCCGAUUAGGUAGUUGGCGGGGCAACGGCCCACCAAGCCUACGAUCGGUAGCCGGACUGAGAGGUUGAACGGCCACAUUGGGACUGAGACACGGCCCAGACUCCUACGGGAGGCAGCAGUGGGGAAUAUUGGGCAAUGGGGGGAAACCCUGACCCAGCGACGCCGCGUGAGGGAAGAAGGUUUUCGGAUUGUAAACCUCUGUCUUCGGGGACGAUAGUGACUGUACCCGAGGAGGAAGCCACGGCUAACUACGUGCCAGCAGCGGC